rnacentral:rRNA from 1 species
UACGGAGGGUGCGAGCGUUGUCCGGAAUCAUUGGGCGUAAAGGGCGCGUAGGCGGUUCAUACAGUCAGAUGUGAAAUUCCCGGGCUUAACCUGGGGGCUGCAUUUGAUACGUAUGGGCUUGAGUGAGGAAGAGGGUUGUGGAAUUCCCAGUGUAGAGGUGAAAUUCGUAGAUAUUCGCAGGAACACCAGUGGCGAAGGCGGCUGACUGGUCCACAACUGACGCUGAGGUGCGAAAGCGUGGGGAGCAAACAGGG